GGGGGUAUAGCUCAGCUGGUAGAGCGUCUGCCUUACAAGCAGAAUGUCGGCGGUUCGAAUCCGUCUGUCCUCA
rnacentral:tRNA from 1 species